AGUGAACGCUGGCGGUAGGCCUAACACAUGCCAGUCGAACGGCAGCACAGUAAGAGCUUGCUCUUACGGGUGGCGAGUGGCGGACGGGUGAGGAAUACAUCGGAAUCUACUUUUUCGUGGGGGAUAACGUAGGGAAACUUACGCUAAUACCGCAUACGACCUACGGGUGAAAGCAGGGGAUCUUCGGACCUUGCGCGAUUGAAUGAGCCGAUGUCGGAUUAGCUAGUUGGCGGGGUAAAGGCCCACCAAGGCGACGAUCCGUAGCUGGUCUGAGAGGAUGAUCAGCCACACUGGAACUGAGACACGGUCCAGACUCCUACGGGAGGCAGCAGUGGGGAAUAUUGGACAAUGGGCGCAAGCCUGAUCCAGCCAUACCGCGUGGGUGAAGAAGGCCUUCGGGUUGUAAAGCCCUUUUGUUGGGAAAGAAAAGCAGCAGGUUAAGACCCCGCUGUUCGGACGGUACCCAAAGAAUAAGCACCGGCUAACUUCGG
rnacentral:rRNA from 1 species